rnacentral:tRNA from 1 species
GGAGAGAUGCCCGAGUGGUUAAAGGGGACGGACUGUAAAUCCGUUGGCUCAGCCUACGUUGGUUCAAAUCCAACUCCCUCCACCA